UGGGGAAUAUUGCACAAUGGGCGAAAGCCUGACGCAGCAACGCCGCGUGAGUGAUGAAGGCCUUCGGGUCGUAAAGCUCUGUCGGAGGGAACGAAUGCUCUUGAGGUUAACAGCCUCGGGAGGUGACGGUACCCUCAAAGGAAGCACCGGCUAACUCUGUGCCAGCAGCCGCGGUAAUACGUAGGGACCAAGCGUUGUUCGGAUUUACUGGGCGUAAAGGGCGCGUAGGCGGCAUGACAAGUCACUUGUGAAAUCUCUGGGCUUAACCCAGAACGGCCAAGUGAUACUGUCGCGCUAGAGUGCAGAAGGGGCAAUCGGAAUUCUUGGUGUAGCGGUGAAAUGCGUAGAUAUCAAGAGGAACACCUGAGGUGAAGACGGGUUGCUGGGCUGACACUGACGCUGAGGCGCGAAAGCCAGGGGAGCAAACGGGAUUAGAUACCCAAGUAGUCCCUGAGCGGGCUGGCAAGGCGCAU
rnacentral:rRNA from 1 species